rnacentral:misc_RNA from 1 species
UUAGACGUUUAAUUAGUGCCCUUUUUUUUUUUUUUUUUAUUGAUACCGACUCUGAAUUAACAUAUUUAAAAACAAUUGCAGACAUGUUACCAUUACAUAAACAGAAAAGGGCACUAAUUACACGUCUAAGAGCUCAUCUUCCAGGGACUUUGUUAGACCUUUCAGAGCUAGCUAUCAAUUGCAUAAUUUAACAUCAUUAAAGUAUGUAAUGCAUAAUAUACAAGUGCACCAAUCAAUAAUCACCAAGAACCAUUUCUUAAAAAAAGAAGAAGAAGAAGAAGAAGAAGAAGAAGAAGAAGAAGGUGCAGAUAUAAGGAAUUAGAGCGAUACAAACUCAUGAGGAUGCACUUCUGAAGGAUCAAUUAGACCUUCUAACACAACCAGCUGGUCUAACAAUGCAAGUUUCUCAUCUUCAAGAGUCUUAACCUCCUCUUCAACUACCUUCAACUCUCUCCCAAGACCAAAGCUUUCUUCCUCCAACAGCAAAUAUUUCCUUCUGAGCGCACGAUAUUCAUUUCCUGAUGAAGAUGAGUCAGGCAAUGAAUCUGAAUUUGACCUCUCCUGUUGCUGAAUCAGUGGAGAGCCUUCAUUCUUCAAGCUCCUUUUGGAGGCCCUCUGGCUUGUUCUUAUAGGGCCCUGCGCCUGUCGGGUGUCAUUACCUUGUAAUGGGAUCAAGGAAGUCCUAGAGGUUGAGGCUUUCUUUUUGCGUGACUUGGAGUUAGUAAUUUCCCCUGAUGGUGGCAUCCUUGGAUCUUGCAUAUUUUUCACCAGCAGUA